rnacentral:rRNA from 1 species
ACUGCAGUCGAGCGAAUCUUUGGGAGCUUGCUCCCAUUGGUUAGCGGCGGACGGGUGAGUAACACGUGGGCAACCUGCCUGUAAGACUGGGAUAACUUCGGGAAACCGGAGCUAAUACCGGAUAAUCUUUUUCCUCUCAUGAGGAAAAAUUGAAAGUCGGUUUCGGCUGACACUUACAGAUGGGCCCGCGGCGCAUUAGCUAGUUGGUGAGGUAACGGCUCACCAAGGCGACGAUGCGUAGCCGACCUGAGAGGGUGAUCGGCCACACUGGGACUGAGACACGGCCCAGACUCCUACGGGAGGCAGCAGUAGGGAAUCUUCCACAAUGGACGAAAGUCUGAUGGAGCAACGCCGCGUGAGCGAUGAAGGCCUUCGGGUCGUAAAGCUCUGUUGUUAGGGAAGAACAAGUACCGGAGUAACUGCCGGUACCUUGACGGUACCUAACCAGAAAGCCACGGCUAACUACGUGCCAGCAGCCGCGGUAAUACGUAGGUGGCAAGCGUUGUCCGGAAUUAUUGGGCGUAAAGCGCGCGCAGGCGGUCCUUUAAGUCUGAUGUGAAAGCCCACGGCUCAACCGUGGAGGGUCAUUGGAAACUGGGGGACUUGAGUGCAGAAGAGGAAAGCGGAAUUCCACGUGUAGCGGUGAAAUGCGUAGAGAUGUGGAGGAACACCAGUGGCGAAGGCGGCUUUCUGGUCUGUAACUGACGCUGAGGCGCGAAAGCGUGGGGAGCAAACAGGAUUAGAUACCCUGGUAGUCCACGCCGUAAACGAUGAGUGCUAAGUGUUAGGGGGUUUCCGCCCCUUAGUGCUGCAGCUAACGCAUUAAGCACUCCGCCUGGGGAGUACGGCCGCAAGGCUGAAACUCAAAUGA